rnacentral:rRNA from 1 species
AUGUGCUCCUUCUGUAAUGAAGUCGAGACAGCAAAUCAUUUGUUCUUUACCUGUUCGCUUGCUCGGUCGGUUUGGGGGGUGUUGGGCAUGACGGCCGGGGUUUCAUGUUGCCCUCGCUCUCUGUGGCAAAGCUUAACUUGGCUUUAUAAGUUCUUUCCGGAUGGGAAACAGUUUUACAUGAUGAUUAUUGCUGCAAUAUGCUGGGGGAUUUGGACCCUCCGCAAUAAAGUCACAUUUGAUAAUCAUAUUGUUCGUUCUCCUCUUGAGGCUGUUUUCACUGCAUGCUCGUUUUUGCUGUACUGGGCAGGUUUGCUAAAGGAAGAAGAAAGGGCGAAGCUCCAGGCUGGAGUGAAGAGGUUGGCUCACGCGGCUGCUGCGCUGGCGGACAGGUCCCUCCCUCGAGGCAGAUCCCUUUUGGGUGACAGAGAAGGGAUCCAGAUUGGUUAG